rnacentral:rRNA from 1 species
GUACACUCCUACGGGAGGCAGCAGUGGGGAAUUUUGGACAAUGGGCGAAAGCCUGAUCCAGCAAUGCCGCGUGAGUGAAGAAGGCCUUCGGGUUGUAAAGCUCUUUUGUCAGGGAAGAAACGGUGAAAGCUAAUAUCUUUUGCUAAUGACGGUACCUGAAGAAUAAGCACCGGCUAACUACGUGCCAGCAGCCGCGGUAAUACGUAGGGUGCAAGCGUUAAUCGGAAUUACUGGGCGUAAAGCGUGCGCAGGCGGUUUUGUAAGUCUGAUGUGAAAUCCCCGGGCUCAACCUGGGAAUUGCAUUGGAGACUGCAAGGCUAGAAUCUGGCAGAGGGGGGUAGAAUUCCACGUGUAGCAGUGAAAUGCGUAGAUAUGUGGAGGAACACCGAUGGCGAAGGCAGCCCCCUGGGUCAAGAUUGACGCUCAUGCACGAAAGCGUGGGGAGCAAACAGGAUUAGAUACCCGUGUAGUCC